rnacentral:rRNA from 1 species
AUACCCUCUGACAUUGUCGUGCACUGUCGUCUCCCGGGCGCCGAUGGCCCAAAAAGCAUCACUGCAUGCUCCUAAAGCGACCCCAGGUCAGGCGGGACUACCCGCUGAGUUUAAGCAUAUCAAUAAGCGGAGGAAAAGAAACUUACCAGGAUUCCCCUAGUAACGGCGAGCGAACCGGGAAAAGCCCAGA